GAUGAAGAACGUAGCGAAAUGCGAUAAGUAGUGUGAAUUGCAGAAUUCAGUGAAUCAUCGAAUCUUUGAACGCACAUUGCGCCCUUUGGUAUUCCAAAGGGCAUGCCUGUUCGAGCGUCAUUUGUACCCUCAAGCUUUGCUUGGUGUUGGGCGUCUUGUCUCUAGCUUUGCUGGAGACUCGCCUUAAAGUAAUUGGCAGCCGGCCUACUGGUUUCGGAGCGCAGCACAAGUCGCACUCUCUAUCAGCAAAGGUCUAGCAUCCAUUAAGCCUUUUUUUCUACUUUUGACCUCGGAUCAGGUAGGGAUACCCGCUGAACUUAAGCAUAUCAAUAAGCGGAGGA
rnacentral:misc_RNA from 1 species